AUACUGAGGGUGCAAGCGUUAAUCGGAAUUACUGGGCGUAAAGCGCACGUAGGCGGUUUAUUAAGUCAGAUGUGAAAGCCCUGGGCUUAACCUGGGAACUGCAUUUGAGACUGGUAGGCUAGAGUAUGGUAGAGGAUAGUGGAAUUCCGGGUGUAGCGGUGAAAUGCGUAGAUAUCCGGAGGAACGUCAGUGGCGAAGGCGGCUAUCUGGACCAAUACUGACGCUGAGGUGCGAAAGCGUGGGGAGCAAACAGGAUUAGAAACCCUAGUAGUCC
rnacentral:rRNA from 1 species